AUUGAACGCUGGCGGAAUGCUUUACACAUGCAAGUCGAACGGCAGCACGGGAGCUUGCUCCUGGUGGCGAGUGGCGAACGGGUGAGUAAUGCGUCGGAACGUGCCGAGUAAUGGGGGAUAACGCAGCGAAAGUUGUGCUAAUACCGCAUACGCCCUGAGGGGGAAAGUGGGGGAUCGCAAGACCUCACGUUAUUCGAGCGGCCGACGUCUGAUUAGCUAGUUGGUGGGGUAAAGGCCUACCAAGGCGACGAUCAGUAGCGGGUCUGAGAGGAUGAUCCGCCACACUGGGACUGAGACACGGCCCAGACUCCUACGGGAGGCAGCAGUGGGGAAUUUUGGACAAUGGGGGCAACCCUGAUCCAGCCAUUCCGCGUGAGUGAAGAAGGCCUCGGUUGUAAGUACGUCUUUCUAG
rnacentral:rRNA from 1 species